CCUACGGGCGGCUGCAGUAGGGAAUAUUGCUCAAUGGGGGAAACCCUGAAGCAGCAACGCCGCGUGGAGGAUGAAGGUUUUCGGAUUGUAAACCCCUUUUGUUAGAGAAGAUAAUGACGGUAUCUAACGAAUAAGCACCGGCUAACUCCGUGCCAGCAGCCGCGGUAAUACGGAGGGUGCAAGCGUUACUCGGAAUCACUGGGCGUAAAGGGCGCGUAGGCGGGAUAGCAAGUCAGAUGUGAAAUCCUAUGGCUUAACCAUAGAACUGCAUUUGAAACUGUUAUUCUAGAGUAUGGGAGAGGUAGGUGGAAUGCUUGGUGUAGGGGUAAAAUCCGUAGAGAUCAAGAGGAAUACUCAUUGCGAAGGCGACCUGCUAGAACAUAACUGACGCUGAUGCGCGAAAGCGUGGGGAGCAAACAGGAUUAGAUACCCGGGUAGUC
rnacentral:rRNA from 1 species